CCUANGGGAGGCAGCAGUGGGGAAUUUUGGACAAUGGGCGCAAGCCUGAUCCAGCCAUGCCGCGUGUGUGAAGAAGGCCUUCGGGUUUUAAAGCACUUUCGGCCGGAACGAAAUCGCCUUUGUGAAUAGCGAAGGUGGAUGACGGUACCGGAAGAAGAAGCACCGGCUAACUACGUGCCAGCAGCCGCGGUAAUACGUAGGGUGCGAGCGUUAAUCGGAAUUACUGGGCGUAAAGGGUGCGCAGGCGGCCCCGCAAGUCAGGCGUGAAAUCCCCGGGCUUAACCUGGGAAUGGCGCUUGAAACUACGGGGCUGGAGUAUGGCAGAGGGAGGUGGAAUUCCACGUGUAGCGGUGAAAUGCGUAGAUAUCAGGAGGAACACCGGUGGCGAAAGCGGCUCACUGGCCCGAAUCUGACACUGAGGUGCGAAAGCUAGGGUAGCAAACGGGAUUAGAUACCCGGNUANUC
rnacentral:rRNA from 1 species